AUUGAACGCUGGCGGCAUGCCUUACACAUGCAAGUCGAACGGCAGCACGGGAGCAAUCCUGGUGGCGAGUGGCGAACGGGUGAGUAAUAUAUCGGAACGUGCCCAGUCGUGGGGGAUAACGCAGCGAAAGCUGUGCUAAUACCGCAUACGAUCUACGGAUGAAAGCGGGGGAUCGCGAGACCUCGCGCGAUUGGAGGGGCCGAUAUCAGAUUAGCUAGUUGGUGGGGUAAAGGCCCACCAAGGCGACGAUCUGUAGCUGGUCUGAGAGGACGACCAGCCACACUGGAACUGAGACACGGUCCAGACUCCUACGGGAGGCAGCAGUGGGGAAUUUUGGACAAUGGGCGCAAGCCUGAUCCAGCAAUGCCGCGUGCAGGAUGAAGGCCUUCGGGUUGUAAACUGCUUUUGUACGGAACGAAACGGCCCCUUCUAAUACAAGGGGCUAAUGACGGUACCGUAAGAAUAAGCACCGGCUAACUACGUGCCAGCAGCCGCAGUAAGAC
rnacentral:rRNA from 1 species